AGGAGAAACAUUCAUUGUUCAAUGUAAAUUAUUAUAAUUACUACAAUAAGUACCAGGCAAGUCCCUUAAGAACAAAACAAUCUUGUGGUCCAGCACUCCUAUAACCACACAUAUACAUUUCAAAGGAAAUGAAAUCAGUGUCUUAGGAGAAAUAUGGCCACUAGCACGCUCACUCCUCUAGUUUGUUCUCGGUUGCUGUGAUAAACACUCUGAGGGAAAGCAACUUGGUCAGGAAAGAAUUUAUUUUGUCUUAUAUUUCCAGGUCACGAUCCAUUACUGAAGGUGUGAAAUCAAGCAGACACUAAAGCAGACACCAUGGAGGAAAUUCUGUUUCUUGACUCAGUUUCCAGUUUACUCUCUGCUAGCUUUCUGAUAGAGUCCAGGCCUACCUGGUUAGAGAUGCUGGUACCCAAAGGGAUCUGGGGCCUUCCACAUCAAUCUUCAGCCAAAACGAUGUCCUCAAAGACAUGCUAACAGGGCAAUUGGAUUGAAAGAAGUCUUCAAUUGAGAUGUAAAAUGAACCAAUCUCUGUGGAAAACUUGGACAAUUUCUCAAAAAAGUGAAACUCGGAUUUAUUCUGUGACUCAACCUUUGGACCCUUAAGAAUGUAUUCAAGAGAAUGGAGAUCACCAACAUCAUCGCUCAUAAUAAUUUUUUUUAUAAGAACAGCCAUUGAAACUAUUCAUCACGUGAUGGACAAGCAAGCCAGCGGUGGCAUAUCCAUGCCCUGGGAUAUGUCCGCACCUGAGGGGAGCAGCAUCGCUAUAUUCUACAACAGGCAUGAAACCUGAGAUGCUAUUUUAAGUGAAAGGUGCCCGACUUUAAAGAGCACAUACUGUAUUACCUAAUUUCUAUGAACUAAUACCUGGGAUACAGUAAGAAGUAUCCAUUCAGACAGAAGGAAGAAAAUCCUUCAAGACAGACUGAGCUUAACUCAUCCAAGACUGCAUGGCAUCCUAUGCGAUACCAGUUCAAGCUGUAGCAAACAAGAAUGGCAAAAAACUUACUAAAUGGAGAGAUGCUCCUUGCAAGACAAUAAG
rnacentral:sRNA from 1 species